GACUUCCGAGGGGCGGCGCGAACGGCAAUGGCGGUCCUCUUCUGAACGGGAGAGGAGGCUCCGCAGACAACGGGUCGUCCGCUACGGCGAAGCGGAGACCCACUCCGGAAAACCCCAGGCAGCAAGAGCUUGGGGUCUUGAGGCUCGGUGGGCGCCUUAAGUGACCCUCCAAACGUGAAAGGAACCUCGUAAGGGGCUCCGGAGCGUGGAGGGGGGUUGCGGCGCUGAGAGCUGCUUCACAGUCUGCGGAGUGAAGCCGCGCUGCUGCUGCCGGUGAGCGCUGAUCCUUUUUCCUGUUAAAAUACGGAUUCGGACGAAAAGCAACUUACUCGUGAGUAAAGACUGAAUCACUUGAAAUUAGAGACUUUAAAUGAAAAACCUUAAAUUGGCUUGAACUUGGCUGAAAGCGGAGAGACGUGGAAACAGGAAGUCCGUCUUCCGCAGCCAUUGAACUUGAAAAAAGCAACUAAGUUGGAGGAGUGGAGGCUGAAAGGAAGAGAUUUUAAACUUUACAGAUCUAAGCAUCUACUGAACUUGCAAUUUAAAGUAAAGACUUUAAGCUAAAGAUUCGGAAUUUUAACUUGCACUUGACUUUCCUCCUUUUAUUGGAUUACAAAUUAGAAGGUGAAACCCAGAGUCAGGAGCUGCCUGAGCAUUGAGAGAUUGAGCUGUCAGUAUUGCAGAUUUGGAUACUGUAUAUUGGAACUUGCAACAAUCUGAGGGUAUUGAGACUUUUUAAAUUUGAAACAUUCUUUUGGAGAUAAAUAAGCACUGUCUGUAACAAAGUGACUACUUAUAAACUCUGCUAAAUAUUUAUAUCUGAAGGUUCUUGGACAUUAAAUUAGACUCUGAAAGACAUUUUAAGCUCCCUCUAGAGGAUUGGAUUAAAACAGUGACUUUACAUCUACAUUUACUUUCGAUUCCCUUGUUGUUUGCUUGCUCUGGGCCUUUCUAUUCCCAUGGGAAAAACUCAGUGUGACCUUGACUGAUAGACAACGUUGGAAUGAGUGGCACAAGGAAAAGAGGGAGAGUUAGACAAACAACUUUAACAACUCUAACCUCAGCCUCGCAGACACGUAGAUCAUCUGUACCUACUUUGCCCUCAGAAGUAGAACUUGAAGAAGUUGCCUUGCCACAGGCAAAAGAGGGAGAGGGUGAAGCAGAGCAGUUACAAUUGGAAGAUAUGGCCUCAGGAGCAUCUGUUUCUGUUCUAGACAAAAUCUUUGAAAAAUUGGAAGCUUUGGACAAGAAAGUAGAUGCGCAAUCAGCAAAGAUUGACAAAAAUACAGAAUGUCUAAAUAAAUUAACCAUACAAGUGGUACAGAAUACACAAGCAAUUGGACAGUUAACGGAGGCCUCAGCAGAAAAUCGGAAAUUGGCUGAGGAUACUAGACAAAAAUUGGAAAAUUUAGAGCAAGAGGUAAGACCACUCACCAAACAAGUUGGGGAACAUCAGACUUAUCUUUCCAUGAUAGAACUGCGAAAUCGUGAGAAUAAUUUGAGGAUUAGAUCAUUACAAGAGGCAGAAGAAGGAAAUUUAACUGAGUUUUUGACUAAAGAAUUUUCCAAGUUCUGGAAUUUGGAAGAAAAGGAUUUUAAAAUUGUGUCGGCUUUCAGACUUGGAAGAUUCACAAAGAAGGAGAGGCCCAGAGACUGUUUGAUUACAUUGAGAUCAAAGGAGGAAAGGGAUAAGAUUUUGGGCCUACAUUACGGAAAGUCACUGGAGGUUUUGGACAGAAGAAUUGAAAUUUAUAAAGAUAUUCCAAGACAACUGCUGGAUCUUAGAGCCGCCUAUUCUGAACUUGCUAAACUACUAAGGAGCAACGCAAUUCCAUUCAGGUGGGAAUUUCCCCAAGGAAUAUCUUUUACCUUUAAAGGGAGAAAGGUCAAAGUUAGAACAUUGGAAGAGAGAGACAAAUUUUUGGCUACAUACGGAGAGGACCUUCAAAAAGGAAUUGAAUUACCUUCUGGGCCUGGGGCAAAGCCAGCAUUAACACCAGCACCUGGGGAACCUGAAGAUCCAGAGAAGAUACCACCCCUGGAGAAAUAACCAGAUAGAUCCAGGAUGUCUCUGCAAUUGCUGAGUUGGAACAUUAAUGGUUGUAACAUUCCGGAAAAAGGAAGAAAAUAUUUCAUAUAUUAAAAAAGAACAAUUGGACAUUAUCUGUUUACAAGAAACACAUGUGACGAGGCUCCACAGAAAAGUGUUAAUAAAUAAAAGAUUGGGCCAGGAAUUUGUUUCGUCGGACAAAGUUAAGAAGAGAGGCGUGGUGAUAUAUGCAAAAGAGAGCCUGUCACCUAAAUUCUUAUUUAAAGAUGAACAUGGAAGAAUUUUGGCCAUUGAGAUACAAUAUCAAGGAGAGAAACUGUUGAUAUUAGGAAUCUAUGCACCUAAUGAAGGGAAAUCGGAAUUUUACAAGAAGCUGCAGGGGACAAUGCUGGACUAUCUGGAUUACAACAACAUCAUAAUGAUGGGAGAUAUGAACGGGGUCGUGUCAACUAACAUGGACAAGUCACAAAGUCAAAAUGUUACAAAAGACGGCAGACUACCUAAAACUUUUUUUGAAAUGACUGACAAUAUGGAUUUGAUUGACAUUUGGAGGACAAAGAACCCACUAGGUAGAGAAGGAACAUUCUUUUCUGAAGCCCAACUGACCUGGACAAGAAUCGACCAAAUAUGGAUUUCCAGAGGCCUGGCACCUAAGGUCAGAAAAGUGGAAAUCUGCCCAAAGACCUGCUCUGACCAUAAUGCAGUAAAGAUGGAUAUGACACUACUACCAACUGGAUCCUUUAGAUGGAAGAUGAAUGACAAUUUGUUUAGAGAUCAGGAAAUUACCAAGAAGGCCCAAAAAGUUUUGAAGGACUAUUUUGAGAUAAACAUGAACAAUUCGGUGGAAAAAAGAAUUGUCUGGGACGCAAGCAAAGCUGUAAUGAGGGGAUUCUUGAUACAACAGAAUGUAGUAAAGAAAAGAACACAAAAUGAGAAAAAAGAUAAGAUCUUGGAC